rnacentral:tRNA from 1 species
GGCCCUAUCGUCUAGCCAGGUCAGGACGCCAGGUUUUCAUCCUGGAAACCGGGGUUCGAAUCCCCGUAGGGUCA